AAUAAAUAUUGUCGAAUUAAUUAAAAAUACAAUAAAUGAAGUAGUUCAAAUUAGGUAAAAAAAUGAAAAUUUCUAAAAAUCAUCUUAAAAAUAGGCAAAUAAUAUUUUGUAAUUUAGUUUUAGUAGAAUAAAUGUUUUAUUUUAAUAUUUUGUCUCAGUUUUAAUAAAAUAGAUGUUUUGUUUUAAUAUUUUUUGUCCCUCGUGAUAGUUUUGAUUCCAUUCUGCUUUCUUAAAAGACUUCACGAUCCCACACCUCCACACACAUACACAUAUUGACUC
rnacentral:lncRNA from 1 species